GACGAACGCUGGCGGCGUGCUUAACACAUGCAAGUCGAACGGAAAGGCCCUGCUUUUGUGGGGUGCUCGAGUGGCGAACGGGUGAGUAACACGUGAGUAACCUGCCCUUGACUUUGGUAUAACUUCAGGAAACUGGGGCUAAUACCGGAUAGGAUCUCCUGCUGCAUGGUGGGGGUUGGAAAGUUUCGGCGGUUGGGGAUGGACUCGCGGCUUAUCAGCUUGUUGGUGGGGUAGUGGCUUACCAAGGCUUUGACGGGUAGCCGGCCUGAGAGGGUGACCGGGCACAUGGGGACUGAGAUACGGCCCAGACUGCUACGGGAGGCAGAAGUGGGGAAUAUUGCACAAUGGGCGGAAGCGUGAUGCAGCAACGCCGCGGGCGGGAUGACGGCCUUUGGGUUGUAAACCGCUUUAGCCUGUGACGAAGCGUGAGUGACGGUAAUGGGUAAAGAAGCACCGGCUAACUACGUG
rnacentral:rRNA from 1 species